AUCUUAUUUAAGAAAGUAAAGCUGCUUCUUUCACGAAAACAACUAUACAGUGGAAAAUUAUUAAAAAUGUUUUCCCAGCAAAUCAACACAAUUUAAAAGUAAAUAGCAAUAUUAGCAGCAUUCCAUCUAGUGCAAAAUAGAUCUUUCAAGCACAGUGGCCAAUGACCCUGGAGAAGUCUCCCAGGAAGGUUCUGGAACAGGUUCUUACAGGAAGGGCAGCCGAGAACAUCAAUGAUUAAAAGGGGGCUGAGGAGAGGAAACUGAUGGACAAAGAGGUGAGAAGUGGGAGAAAGAACGAAAAUCUGGAGGUUGGAGGGUAAACAAACCCACAUCCUUGUGGAUGAAGAAGGAUACCAAAAACUCAUUUUCCUGGAAGGAGCAAUUUUUGAAAUCAGCUACACUGAGGGCACUUUCGUGGCUGCCAGACUAAAGAUUAAUGGAGCACAACUCCAAAGGGUGCCAACAGGAAGCAACUAUACCCCCAAUCAUGUCAUCACCCCCUGCCUAUUUCAACCUGUCCUGGAGCUAGUUUAAUGUGCCAGCUCCCAUGGUUUUUCCAGUCAUUCUGCGGUAGAAGGAGACCGCAGCUGCAGAUUGAGUGAAGGUCUUUUCCAUGUGAAUUUGUCCUGCAUCUGGGAUAAAGGUAUAAUGAUUACCUAAAGCAUGUUCUGUUCAUGGAAGAUCACUGGAACACAAAAGACCAAGCUCACAGCAUAUUCAAGACAUCUGCUCGUAUUCCACUGGCCAAAGAAAGUGAUGUGGCCCAGCCUAAAGUCAGUGAAUGGAUGAGGAAAGGAAGGCAUGGAAAGUGGACUGGCAUGGCUAUGAGUUAGAAGCAGUCAGAGUUCAGUUCAGAAACCUCUGAAUUCAAGGCCAAGGCUCUGGGGACGAGGUUUUCCCCCAACAUCGGUAAGCUUUGGAAACUUUUUAAAAAGUGGAAGAAAAAGUGAUACCUAAUACAGUGCUGUCCACAUGAUAUGCAACCAAUACACAUUCAAUAAAUGAGUAAAUAUGAGAG